GCUUUCCGCUAACUACCACCGUCCUGCCGGGUUCCACACAGGCUGCUGCUGCAGUGGGGCAAACUUGAAAGGCUGAAGGCCUCUUCCACCGCAGACCUCUCACCUUGCCAGGAAAGAGGACUAAAAGGCAAAGGUAACCACGGCCCCAAAGGAGGCGGCGAACAGGAAGUGUCCAUAUUGCAGCGCUGAAACAGUAGCUCCCAAGACAGCCACCCUCUGAGGCCCCCUCGAGGCGGUGGAGGGGCGAGAGGGUGCCGGGGUCGCUCCCACACACACCCGGGACCCGCCUCUGCCCACCACAACGCCCGGCCGCCCCCGGCACCUCCCCGUGCACUACUUGGCGGGGCCCAGCCAGUCCCAACUGGGGCCGGACGAGGACUCCGAGCCCGACAUGUCUCGCUCCACUUCAAGCCAGAGGAGGGGGCGUUGCAAAGGCUCCGAGGUGCUUGGGGUACUUCCCUAACAGCAGAUUCCAGCCCCGAGCCGAGCCCUGAGGGUCCUUGGGGCCCCCUCCACGCCUUCCCGGAGAGACGACACCCCUCGCCGCGGUUUCCGCCGCGCGACAGCCCCUCCCGGGCGGUCAUUACCUCUCAGGAAAAACUCCUAACUCCUCACAAGCCACACUCCCCUCAGUUCGACAUCCCCCGGAGCCCACACACCACCCGAUACGCGCGCCGGGGACACCCCCGCGCCGGCGCAAAUUCCUCACUGGACAAAAAUGUCCGGGCGCGUCACGGGACAGCCGCCUCCGCGCCCCACGCCUGGCGCGGGUCGCUCGCGCUGCCUCCGCGCCCGGGAGCUGCGCCGCGGGCUGGGGCGGGGAGCGCCGACCCUGGAGGGGACCGCUCCGCCCGGGACUCACCGUCAGCUCGGCCGGGAGGCGAGGGACCGGCCGGGGAAGACACAAUAUGGCAGAGCACCGCAGCUGUUCCCUGCAGCUUCCAGCAGUCGCCUCCGGGAAGACGCGGCAACCAGCAGGCAGCAGCAGCUGCAGUGGCGGCCCCGGCAGCACCACAUCCCCCUCCCGCUCGCUUCCUCCCCCUCCCUCCCCUUCCCCGCUGCCAUGGCAACGCGGCGCCAAGGCGAUUAGCCCCACCCCUCCCUCCAGUCCCGCCUCCCGCGACCCCGAGGAAGGGGGCUCGGCCGGCCCCUCCCGGUUCCCGCCCACCUCCUACCGAAGGGAGGGGCCUGGGUUCCGGCUGGCUGCCUGGCACGGCGGCUGGGGUGGGGGUGAAAUGCAGGGUCCGGAAGGGCGGGGCUCACACGGAAAGCAGGGUGGAGGCGCUGUAGGCCGGUGCGGGUUUAGGGCUGAGCAGGGCAGGGGAAAGCGGGAAAAUGCAAAGGCCUCGCAUGUCCGAGGAAGGACCUAUAGGAGUGCGGCGGAGGCGCGGCGCGGCCGCUGAGUGGUCGAGGAGGCGCGGGGGCGGGGCUAGGCUGCCGCAGGGCAGUACGGCCCUCGGUGCCUGUGCCCGGGCUGAGGAGACCUUCCUCGACACCCCACGUUAUGUGGGUUUCCGCAAGACCUUCCGCCAUUGCCUGGGCUUUGAAAGCGCUUUAGGAACGAUACGGAAACGGAGGCUUAGAAGUGGAAACUUUACAGAUAUGGAAACUGAGACUUAGAAAAAUGACCCGUCAAAGGCCUUUUCUACAAUGAUCUUUUCAACCAGAAAAUGAAGAGAUGGAUUUUACAGUGUGUGCUUACUGCCUAUG
rnacentral:lncRNA from 1 species